rnacentral:rRNA from 1 species
AUUGAACGCUGGCGGCAGGCUUAACACAUGCAAGUCGAGCGGGGGAAGGUAGCUUGCUACCGGACCUAGCGGCGGACGGGUGAGUAAUGCUUAGGAAUCUGCCUAUUAGUGGGGGACAACAUCUCGAAAGGGAUGCUAAUACCGCAUACGUCCUACGGGAGAAAGCAGGGGAUCUUCGGACCUUGCGCUAAUAGAUGAGCCUAAGUCGGAUUAGCUAGUUGGUGGGGUAAAGGCCUACCAAGGCGACGAUCUGUAGCGGGUCUGAGAGGAUGAUCCGCCAACCUGGGGCUGAGACACGGCCCCGACGCCUACGGGAGGCAGCAGUGGGGAAUAUUGGACAAUGGGGGGAACCCUGAUCCAGCCAUGCCGCGUGUGUGAAGAAGGCCUUAUGGUUGUAAAGCACUUUAAGCGAGGAGGAGGCUACUCUAGUUAAUACCUAGGGAUAGUGGACGUUACUCGCAGAAUAAGCACCGGCUAACUCUGUGCCAGCAGCCGCCGUAA